GGCAAACUCACCUGGCACCAGUGGACUGCUUGAUCCCUAGAAGAUUAGCCACCACACAGCACACCAGUUUGAGGGCCUCAGAUCCACAAAGGAACCUGGUGAGGCCCAGGAACCAACUCAGGGAACACUGCCCCUCAGACUGUUUGGCACCACCUUGUCAACAGGUGUGAUCAACAGUAAGGAAACAUGCAGUGCCAGUGCUCCCAUUCUGGUCCAGCAUGAGAACCCACUACUGAAAAGAUGGCACUCACAGCAUCAGGCAGGCUGCCAUGAAAUCGUCCUUCCUUGGCACCGGUGCCCAUGGCAUCCAUUAACCUUCCAGUUGUCCGUCCUGUAAAUGAUGAAUGGGAUCAAGUGUGAGCUGAAAAUGCAAGGGUGAACAUUAGGG